GGGCUUGGGGAGGCCUCGGCUGAGGCGGCGGGGGUGCGGCGGUGGGCUGGUUUUCGGCUUCCGGCGUUGCGCCCCGGCGGAGGGUGGGCGCGCGGGGAGCGUGAUGGAGCCGGGGCUGUGAGGCCGAGGCGGCGGUGCCUGGGAGGAAGGGUCGGAUGCCGGGCCGGGGGCACCGCUGAGGCGGUGGGUCCCCGACCUGCGAGACAGGUUUGGAAGCCCCCGCUGCGCCCAGUCCCUGCGGACCGCGAGGCCGCGGGCGGGUGGAGGCGCGUCUCCGGCACGAUGAAGGAUUUGGGGGCAGAGCAUUUGGCAGGUCAUGAAGGGGUCCAACUCCUCGGAUUGUUGAACCUCUACCUGGAACAAGAAGAGAGAUUCCAACCUCGAGAAAAAGGGCUGAGUUUGAUUGAGGCUACCCCGGAGAAUGAUAACACUUUGUGUCCAGGUUUGAGAAAUGCCAAAGUUGAAGAUUUAAGGAGUUUAGCCAACUUUUUUGGAUCUUGCACUGAAACUUUUGUCCUGGCUGUCAAUAUUUUGGACAGGUUCUUGGCUCUUAUGAAGGUGAAACCUAAACAUUUGUCUUGCAUUGGAGUCUGUUCUUUUUUGCUGGCUGCUAGAAUAGUUGAAGAAGACUGCAAUAUUCCAUCCACUCAUGAUGUGAUCCGGAUUAGUCAAUGUAAAUGUACUGCUUCUGACAUAAAACGGAUGGAAAAAAUAAUUUCAGAAAAAUUGCACUAUGAAUUGGAAGCUACUACUGCCUUAAACUUUUUGCACUUAUACCAUACUAUUAUACUUUGUCAUACUUCAGAAAGGAAAGAAAUACUGAGCCUUGAUAAACUAGAAGCUCAGCUGAAAGCUUGCAACUGCCGACUUGUCUUUUCAAAAGCAAAACCAUCUGUAUUAGCCUUGUGCCUUCUCAAUUUGGAAGUGGAAACUUUGAAAUCUGUUGAAUUACUGGAGAUUCUCUUGCUAGUUAAAAAACAUUCCAAGAUUAAUGACACCGAGUUCUUUUACUGGAGAGAGUUGGUUUCUAAAUGCCUAGCCGAGUAUUCUUCUCCUGAAUGUUGCAAACCAGAUCUUAAGAAGUUGGUUUGGAUCGUUUCAAGGCGCACAGCCCAGAACCUCCACAACAGCUACUAUAGUGUUCCUGAGCUGCCAACGAUACCUGAGGGGGGUUGUUUUGAUGAAAGUGAAAGCUCUGUUGCCCAGGCUGGAGUGCAGUGGCCCGAUCUCAGUUCACUCCAACCUCCACCUACCAGGUUCAAGCGAUUCUCAUGCCUCAGCCUCUGGAGUAGCUGGGAUUACAGCUCCUGGACCUGAAGCAGACCUGCAGAAAGGAUCAAGUGCAGAGACGAGCUGCUGCUGAGAUCAUCAUAGGGAACCUCUUCUAACACAUGAGUUCCUGAGGAAGUGCUGUGGCCUUCCAACGCUGCCACUGGUAGUCUCAUUUCAAAGAAUAAUAUGUGAAAAUCCAAUGGCAGCAGCUAUUGUGAUACGCAAGACAGCAGGAAUUGGGACUAAAAAUCAAGGGAUACUUGUGAUAAUAGAUCCAUAGUACUUUGGAGCUGGAAGCAACCCAGCCUCAAAAAACAGCUUGAUUAGCAGCUUUUCAUUCAAAAAGAAUCCCAUCCAGGGUAUGACAUUGAACUUAGUCAUCACAUCUCUAUAGUGUCUUCUGGAGUUUGGAACUAAGACCCCUAGACAGCAGAGCCUAAGGGAGGAAUGACUCUACCAGGAGACAAAAUAAUGACUCUGUUAAAGUUGAGAUGGCCGGCUGCCUCAUACCUCUGAUUCAAAAGUAAAGGAGUUGCUGUACUGGUUAGAGUGAUUGUUCCUGACAACCAAGGGAAAAUUGGUUGUCAUGCAAGGAGGACUGAACAGAGCUGAGGCUUCCCUAAUGAAGAAAUCCUGCUGCGGUCAGAAGUUUCAGCAGCACCUGAGUUCCUGCCUGUUCCUCCUGAAAGUCUUCCAUAUUUGUGGAUAAUGGGCUUGCCUUGCCAACUUCCACGAUUGCAUAAAACAAGUCCUUGCAAUGAAUCUCAACAUGUAUUAA
rnacentral:sRNA from 1 species